CGUUUCGGUGGUGCCGGAUCGGAACAAUGAGCAUGCGUGAGACGCGCCAACAGCCGCUACUUUAUUUAUUUUUAUGACCUACGACAUUCGUAGGUGCAUACAUUACCGAUAUUGUCUUCGCUCCUGCUCCAUACUUUACUUCAUCGGCUUUGACCGGGUAGCCCUUUCCGGUGGCCAAGAAUACCUCUUGCGUGCCGCGUGCCCGCUCCCAUUGCCUAUCAGGGACUUAACCUUUGGGUUUGGCCACUGCCAAAGCUCUCUUCUCCGCCUUUCAAUUCCGCUUGCCGUAGGUACCUCAUCAGCGGGUGAUUCCGCCGUAGAUAGUCCUCUCGGAAGGUGCAAGGGAUGUGCGUCUGGCUGGAAUUUGGCAGACCCCGGCUGUGCUGCGGGCCAUAGCUAUGCUGUAUCGCUAAGUCUACAAUGUGGCGUCCAGUCCGCUGCAGGGACAUAAUGUCAGCAGCCCCCUCAUUCAUAUGCGCCGAAUCAAACGCUGGGCUUCAGCUUCGACACACAAGUCUUAUGCACCCUACGCUGCCACAAGCUGAGUCCUAUCAGAUUUGUUCACGCCAACGGAAUCCUAUUUAAGCAUUACCGAGGCGUAUUCGAGGCAGACCGAGUGCUACCCCAGCAAGACAGAAUAGUUUCCCAGAAGGACAGAAGCGCAUCCCUUGCAAUCGCCAUCGACAACUAUCUGAAGGACUUUGGCUAUGGCAAACAAGGGAGUGGCUACGCGGACUACCAGACAUUUUUAUGACCUACGACAUUCGUAGGUGCAUACAUUACCGAUAUUGUCUUCGCUCCUGCUCCAUACGUUACUUCAUCGGCUUUGACCGGGUAGCCCUUUCCGGUGGCCAAGAAUACCUCUUGCGUGCCGCGUGCCCGCUCCCAUUGCCUAUCAGGGACUUAACCUUUGGGUUUGGCCACUGCCAAAGCUCUCUUCUCCGCCUUUCAAUUCCGCUUGCCGUAGGUACCUCAUCAGCGGGUGAUUCCGCCGUAGAUAGUCCUCUCGGAAGGUGCAAGGGAUGUGCGUCUGGCUGGAAUUUGGCAGACCCCGGCUGUGCUGCGGGCCAUAGCUAUGCUGUAUCGCUAAGUCUACAAUGUGGCGUCCAGUCCGCUGCAGGGACAUAAUGUCAGCAGCCCCCUCAUUCAUAUGCGCCGAAUCAAACGCUGGGCUUCAGCUUCGACACACUCUUAUGCACCCUACGCUCCGCUGCCACAAGCUGAGUCCUAUCAGAUUUGUUCACGCCAGACGGAAUCCUAUUUAAGCAUUACCGAGGCGUAUUCGAGGCAGACCGAGUGCUACCCCAGCAAGACAGAAUAGUUUCCCAGAAGGACAGAAGCGCAUCCCUUGCAAUCGCCAUCGACAACUAUCUGAAGGACUUUGGCUAUGGCAAACAAGGGAGUGGCUACGCGGACUA
rnacentral:sRNA from 1 species